rnacentral:rRNA from 1 species
UCCGUAGGUGAACCUGCGGAAGGAUCAUUACCGAGUGAGGGCCCUCUGGGUCCAACCUCCCACCCGUGUUUAUCGUACCUUGUUGCUUCGGCGGGCCCGCCGCAAGGCCGCCGGGGGGCAUCUGCCCUCUGGCCCGCGCCCGCCGAAGACACCAUUGAACGCUGUCUGAAGAUUGCAGUCUGAGCAAUUAGUUAAAUAACUUAAAACUUUCAACAACGGAUCUCUUGGUUCCGGCAUCGAUGAAGAACGCAGCGAAAUGCGAUACGUAAUGUGAAUUGCAGAAUUCAGUGAAUCAUCGAGUCUUUGAACGCACAUUGCGCCCCCUGGUAUUCCGGGGGGCAUGCCUGUCCGAGCGUCAUUGCUGCCCUCAAGCACGGCUUGUGUGUUGGGCUCCGUCCUCCUUCCGGGGGGACGGGCCCGAAAGGCAGCGGCGGCACCGCGUCCGGUCCUCGAGCGUAUGGGGCUUCGUCACCCGCUCUGCAGGCCCGGCCGGCGCUUGCCGACACAUCAAUCUUUUUUCCAGGUUGACCUCGGAUCAGGUAGGGAUACCCGCUGAACUUAAGCAUAUCAAUAAGCGGAGGAA